rfam:Capsicum annuum cultivar Zunla-1 chromosome 4, whole genome shotgun sequence
ACCUCAUGAUUUGGGCAUUGCAUUAUCUUAUUAUUGAAUCAUUGCCAAGCCUCAUAUAAAGGUUCACCAUUAAGUUAGUGAAAAUUAAUGAUUUAAUCCCAUAGUU